rnacentral:rRNA from 1 species
GACGAACGCUGGCGGCGUGCUUAACACAUGCGAGUCGAACGGAAAGGCCCUGCUUGCAGGGUACUCGAGUGGCGAACGGGUGGGUAACACGUGGGUGAUCUGCCCUGCACUUCGGGAUAAGCCUGGGAAACUGGGUCUAAUACCGGAUAGGAGCCAUUUUUAGUGUGAUGGUUGGAAAGUUUUUUCGGUGUAGGAUGAGCUCGCGGCCUAUCAGCUUGUUGGUGGGGUAAUGGCCUACCAAGGCGGCGACGGGUAGCCGGCCUGAGAGGGUGGACGGCCACAUUGGGACUGAGAUACGGCCCAGACUCCUACGGGAGGCAGCAGUGGGGAAUAUUGCACAAUGGGCGCAAGCCUGAUGCAGCGACGCCGCGUGGGGGAUGACGGCCUUCGGGUUGUAAACUCCUUUCGCUAGGGACGAAGCUUUUUGUGACGGUACCUAGAUAAGAAGCACCGGCUAACUACGUG